AUUAUUUCUUAGUUUUCUCCCACAAGCUAAUAAAGACUGAACCAUACUGGACGCCAUUGUGGUUGUGUCUGGAACUCCAGGUCCACCUGGAACUCCUGGUCCA